rnacentral:rRNA from 1 species
AACGAACGCUGGCGGCGUGCCUAACACAUGCAAGUCGUGCGAGAAAGUUCCUUCGGGAGCGAGUAAAGCGGCGCACGGGUGAGUAACACGUAGGUAACCUGCCCCUAAGUCUGGAACAACUAGAGGAAACUCUAGCUAAUGCCGGAUAAGACCACGAUCCCCUCGGGGGUUGCGGCCAAAGAUGGCCUCUACUUGUAAGCUAUCGCUGAGGGAUGGGCCUGCGGGCCAUUAGCUUGUUGGUGAGGUAACGGCUCACCAAGGCUGUGAUGGCUAGCUGGUCUGAGAGGAUGACCAGCCACACUGGGACUGAGACACGGCCCAGACUCCUACGGGAGGCAGCAGUGGGGAAUAUUGCGCAAUGGGCGAAAGCCUGACGCAGCGACGCCGCGUGGGUGGAUGAAGGCCUCGGUCGUAAGACCUGUCGCAGGGAAGGAA